CCCGGAGCAGGGAGGAAUGGAGAGGAUGGGACCUCUCAGAGGGGGGGUCUCAUCCUCUAAACAAAUUAUUUAAGCCUCUGCCGGCAACCCCAAGUGACAGACCCCCUAGAAUACUGAACGAGAGAGUGAGAGAGCCGAAGCCUUGGAGCCGAAGGCAAAGGAGCCCUGAAGCUCCAAGAGGAAGGAGGGACUACCAGGGGGAGGUACUGCCCGACUGCAACCGGCCAAGGUAAGGAGCAUUAGGGUAAGGGUUUAACAGGGGUAAAGAAAUUCCACUGUGGGGUGCUCUUCCCCUCUGUGUCAACAGUGAAACAGAGGGGAGGAAACCGACACAGGGGAGGGGAAAAAGGCCUACAGUCCACUGGUCAGGCCGGACUCAAAGGUCGUGCGCCCGACGACCACCCGGGCCGAACCCAACCGGGCUCGGCCUGCGGAUGAACCGGACACCGCGGCUUCGGCCGCCGGUACCUUGGAGUUCGGGGGGCAACCCGGGCCGCCAGAUCUGGCCGGGACGACAACAGAGGCGGCCACAGGGCCGCCAGCCCCGGCCGGACCACCACCUCUUCUCCGGCAAGGGGUGGUGGUUCCGGAGGGAAGGACCGAAAAAAAAAAAAGGAAAAUGAACUCACCGGAUCUUGAGGCUUCACCCCCUCCGGCCAUACCUGGCCGUGGACGGAGCGGGUGGAGGCCCUCGAUUAAAGCCGGAUUCCGACCCAUCUCCGAACCCUUCCCCUCUCCGGCAUCACUUCGGAGGGAGGAAGGGCUUCCCUUCCGCCGGUGCACCGGGGGGAAACCCCCACGUCGAUCGGUGGAUCGGGGGGAGCCUCGCCUCCCCGGCCGCCUGCAAGAGAAGAAAAGGGAAAAGGAGAGAGGGAAAGAAGGAAGAAAGACCGAGGCCGGAGGGAGCCGAGGGCUCGACCGGAGAGUAGGGUCUCGGCAGGGUCAACAAAGAAAGAAGGAAAGAGGGAGAGAGAGAGAGGGAAAGAGAGGGAGUGACCGAGAGGGGGAAGGCCACAGAUCUGGCCGGAGGAGAAGAAGGGGAGCUGGAGGAGAGGGCCGGAAGCAUGGGCUUCGGUGGGAGGUUGAAGGAGAGAACGAGAGAGAGAGGAGGAAACGGAGGAGAGAGGGGAGGAAGGUAGGUGAAGAGGCGGAAGCCUCUAGAAGGGGGGAGAAAGAAAACAUGGUAACGGGUUUGCGGGUCGGAUCUGAACCCGCAACCCGUUAAGCUUAAAUAAAUAUAUAUAUAUAUAUAUGUAUAUAUGUGUGUAUAUAUAUAUAUAUAUAUAAUUAGAAUGGGUUAGGUGAACCCAAUAAAACCAGACCCAGUCUAUUUGGAUGAACCCGGAUGAGGGAUGGGCUAAAUUUCAGGUAGAAAAGGAAAUAACAUAUUAUUAUUAUGACAUGAUUGUAGGUGACUUAGGACUCGUCACCAGGACGCGGGAGACCUAGGAAAAAGGCAAAUUACUAUCACCACCAGUGACAGCUGCCAGAAGCAUUUUUCUUUUGCAACAGGGCUUCUUUAUUUUUGGGGAUGAUAUAAAUAAACUUUUGUGUAUAUAAACUAUGUAGAAGCUCUGUACUUUAUAUGAACCAGUGGGUUGUAAUACCUUCUUUUGAUAUAUACAAGUUACACUGCUUUUGACUA